rnacentral:tRNA from 1 species
UUCUGCGUGGUUUAGUGGUUAUGACGGGGCCUUGUCACGGCCCAGACCCGGGUUCAAUUCCCGGCGCGGAAG